UGAAGGCGGCCGGGCCCCAGUUUGUGAUUAAGUGAGGAUUCUUGGAGCCUGGAAGACAGAGUGCAAUGCUUGAAACAGGCAUUUCUGACAGAGACAUUGCUCACCCACCAUCAGGGGGACAGGACGAGCGUCACCACAAGAUGCUUUGAAUUUUCCUAAAGAAACUUAUCUGAUGCUUCAGAGGAAACACAAAGCAAGCACCCUUCUUUUGUAAGAUGCUAGCCUGGUGAAAUUGCUUCCAUGGACCUUCAGUUCCCACAGGACACAUGGGACCUUCCCUGCAACAGCUUCCAAACCAUGAUGGAUGAAGCGUGAGAAAGCAAGAAGUUUCAAAAAGUAUUCAUGUAAGAUAAAAGGCAAACAAAUUAGAAAAAA